ACUCUUUCUCACUCUCUGUCUCUCGUUCUCUCUCUCAGUGCAACUGGCGAGGCUUCCAGCAGUAUCUUAUCACAGUCUAUGGACUUUUCCGUGCCAUUCCUGCCUACUCCGGAUUGAACGUGAACUAGACAACAAAACAACCUCCCGCGAGAACUCAGCUUUGGCCAGCGUAAGAGCAAAGGCCUGGGACAUGUUCAUUGGGCACCAAACAGCAAAAAAACUGACUGGAACAGGGAGGGACUACUGCGGCUUGUCCAGUAAGUAACACUUCAUUUCAUGUUCCAUUGCAAAGCAUUUUAAAACAUUUUCCAUUGUAUGCACUAACAAACGCAAGCUCUGCUAACCCUGUUCUUUCUCUGUGUGUACAUUGCAAUAAAUGAAGCAGUCUGAUUUAGGUUUGUCCAGUUUCACAACAUGGCAUAACCAAAGCCUCAGUGUUGACCACAGUGGGUGUUAAUCUCCACUACUACAACCAACACAUUCAAUAACCAGACCAGACCAGACUUACUGGAGUGAGUACAAAGGUCCUCUUGAGUUACUGAGAAACGGUUGCUGAAAAACAACACGAUUUUCCAACGGCAAUAAAUCUGGAGAGACAAAACUUAUCAACAGUUUGCAUUUGGGUAGAUGAAACCAUGACUUGAAAAAUAAAAAGCUCCAUUAGGCAUUGCCUUAGUGCACAUGUGUACUUUUCA